AGGGGAAAUUAGAGUUUGAUCAUGGCUUCGGAUGAACGCUAGCUACAGGCUUAACACAUGCAAGUCGAGGGGCAGCAUAACGAAAGCUUGCUUUUGUUGAUGGCGACCGGCGCACGGGUGAGUAACGCGUAUCCAACCUUCCCCUUAGUAGGGCAUAGCCCGGCGAAAGUCGGAUUAAUACCCUAUGUUUUCCGUUGAGGACAUCUGAAGUGGAACAAAGAUUUAUCGCUAAGGGAUGGGGAUGCGUCUGAUUAGGUUGUUGGCGGGGUAACGGCCCACCAAGCCAUCGAUCAGUAGGGGUUCUGAGAGGAAGGUCCCCCACAUUGGUACUGAGACACGGACCAAACUCCUACGGGAGGCAGCAGUGAGGAAUAUUGGUCAAUGGGCGAGAGCCUGAACCAGCCAAGUAGCGUGCAGGAUGACGGCCCUAUGGGUUGUAAACUGCUUUUGCAUGGGAAUAAAGUGAGGGACGUGUCCCUUUUUGUAUGUACCAUGAGAAUAAGGACCGGCUAAUUCCGUGCCAGCAGCCGCGGUAAUACGGAAGGUCCGGGCGUUAUCCGGAUUUAUUGGGUUUAAAGGGAGCGCAGGCUGCCUGUUAAGCGUGACGUGAAAUGCCGCGGCUCAACCGUGGAAGUGCGUCGCGAACUGGCGGGCUUGAGUGUGCACGAGGAAGGCGGAAUUCGUGGUGUAGCGGUGAAAUGCUUAGAUAUCACGAAGAACUCCGAUUGCGAAGGCAGCCUUCCAGGUCAUUACUGACGCUAAUGCUCGAAGGUGCGGGUAUCGAACAGGAUUAGAUACCCUGGUAGUCCGCACGGUAAACGAUGGAUGCCCGCUGUUGGCGAUAUACAGUCAGCGGCCAAGCGAAAGCGUUAAGCAUCCCACCUGGGGAGUACGCCCGGCAACGGUGAAACUCAAAGGAAUUGACGGGGCCCGCACAAGCGGAGGAACAUGUGGUUUAUUCGAUGAUACGCGAGGAACCUUACCCGGGCUUGACUGCAGCAGACGAUCUAGAGAUAAUCGUCGACUGCAGCAUGCCUAUCCGCCUCACAAUCCACAACAAACAUACGAGCGGAGGCAUAACUGUAAGCUGGGGGUGCUAAUGAAGUGAACUAACUCCAUUAUGCCGGUGGGCCUCACAUGGAGCCCGCGCCAUUUCCAGUUCGGAAACCUGUGUCUCCUGUGUGGUGC
rnacentral:rRNA from 1 species